CAAUAGCGUAUAUUAAAGUUGUUGCAGUUAAAAAGCUCGUAGUUGGAUUUCUGGGAGGGCGCCAAUGUCCGCUGUUGCGUGUGCAGCGGCGCCCUUCCAUCCUUCUGUUAACGUUUCUUGGUAUACAGUUACUGGUUUCGGGCUCAGAUAUUUUACCUUGAGAAAAUUAGAGUGUUUCAGGCAGGCUUGCGCCGGAAUACAUUAGCAUGGAAUAAUAGAAUAGGACUUUAGUCUCUCUUGUUGGUUUAGGGACUGAAGUAAUGAUUAAUAGGGAUAGUUGGGGGCAUUAGUAUUUAAUUGUCAGAGGUAAAAUUCUCGGAUUUGUUAAAGACUAACUUAUGCGAANGNAUUUGCNAAGGAUGUUUNCAUUA
rnacentral:rRNA from 1 species